GUUGGAGGAGUAGAUGAGGUGCUACAUGCAGGGCCCUGAGAACUGUCCUGUCGCUCAGGAAGCAAGUUUUGCAGGGUGUGGACAAUCGGGCAAGUGACUGCAUGUGACAACAGAGAGAGGGCAUGGUACACGGUGGCAGAUGAGCCCGGGACUGGAGGCAGAUCUGGGUUCCAGUUCGGGCUCUACCAGCAGCACCCAUGUGUCCUUCUGUUCUCUGGGCCUCAAUUUCCUGUUGUAAAAUUCAGAACUUGGAAGAGGUAAGUGGUUAGGUCAUUCCUGAGACAUCCCAGAUAAUCACAGCCAUCCAAACGUUGGCUCGGGAGCCCUGAGUAACCAAGACUGCAGGAAGCAACAGUUUAGUAAGGGUUCAGAAUCCUGUGAUUAGGGCUCGAGAAUGAAAUACUCUUCUAAGAGCUUCUCCCAGACCAAAAGGAGCUAAUUAGGAAAGAAUGGUGGCAUUCUCUGGGCAAACUGGAGGAGCCCCUGGGCUUGGCCUCCUUAUGCCUUCCUCCUUGACCCUCCUCUAGCCCCCUUGGACACAACACAACGUCCCCCCUCUGCUUUUUCCCCAGAUACUAUGGUAAACCUGCUCUCAGAUCUUUCUCCACACCUAGAAAAAUUCAUUCAUCGACUAUACACUUUAAUGAAUAUGCACUUACUAUGUACCAGAUAUUCUUUGGCUGCUAGGGCAGAGCAGCAGGGACAUAGCCCCUGUCCCCGUGGGGUCAACAUGCUGGUGGAGGGAGUCAGAGGUAAUAAAAUAAGCAAGUAAGACACACAGUAGAGCAGGCAGAGUUGGCGGAGAACUGGAUCUAACUGGGUUGGGGUUUUGCCAAGCAAGUACAGUCCAACUUGGAGUGUGGAGGGAAGGGUAUAGAAAAGGUAGGGACUAGAAUAACUAACCCUGGAAUUUAGGCUGGGAAAGGAGGGAGUAGGGAUUUGAAAGCGGGUGAGGUCAGUAGUCUGUGGGGCCCUGAGGGGCGAUGGCUCCAAGGCACGAGCCGGAAAGAGGUUUGACAGUGGCUUCUCUGGAGGGCUCAAGCUUGACCAGGAAACUGAGUGCCGAGCCCUGGAAGAUCACUGGGGAGAGGAGGUCAAAGAACUGGGAGGCCAGGGCACCAUCGGCGGGCUGGUAAGUGGAUGGUGAAACCACCAGGCAGGGGGCAGGAGGAGCUGGAGAGAGGACGCGAGAUGGGAGCUAAAAUCCUAAAAUCCGCAGGGAGUGCGGAAAGCAGUGACAGCAGUGAGCGCGGGGAGGCUGGUCCUGAGUCUGGGAUGGGGCGAUGGCGUUCAAGAAGACAUAUUUAAGAGUACUAUGUAAUUUUACGUGUGGGAAGAACCUUUUGUUUUUGUAAUUAGAACUACAGAAAGGGACAGAGCUGUUUAUGUCAUGAAAAGCAGGCCUGAGCAUUAGAAGACUGAGAAACACCUGGGAGGAUCUUGUUUCAACAGAGCUCAAAGCCGUGGCAAAAGGACGGAGCUCGAAUUGUGCAAUUUUGUUUUUCAGAAACCCAGGCCCCCAGCAAAUGGAAAAUGCCAUCCACUGGCACAGAGACUUCAGUUGGGAGCCGAGGACUGAACUCAGACCACCAUUCUUUGUUCAACAUUUCUUCCUGAGGGGCCUGGAGGAAGUCACACCCACAGGCCAGAGCUCAACAUUCCUUUCUGCUGACCCCAGGCACCAGUCCAUGGCACUCCCUAUGCCUGCAGGAUACCACAUCAAAGCAGAGUUGGGGGAG
rnacentral:lncRNA from 1 species